rnacentral:lncRNA from 1 species
CCCUGGCUUUAACAACAGAAAGACCCCAGUUACUGGAUUGGGAUCCACCCUCACUCAAUAUGGCCUCAGCUUAAUGAAAGACAUCUGCAGAGACCCUAUUUCUACUAAAAGCCACAUUCUGAGACUUCUCGUGGGCGUGAGUUUUUGAGAGACACUGUUCUGCUCCAUGCAGGGAGGGAAUUGGGAUCUGAAGACGUUGCAUUCGAGGUCUCGGGGCUCCUGAUGAGCAGCCUCGGCCUGACCUGGGGCAGGUGUGAUGUCUGCGGCUCACCAUCUCCACCCUGCCUGCUGUGGAAUCUCCACAACGACAGGUGCUUUGGAGGCCAGAGUGCAUGCGUACGGGCCCUGCACACGCUGAAUGUCACUGGGAACAAGGACACACCCCGCUUCCAGGAGAAGAUAGAACAUGUCGACCCCUUUUAGCCAUCCCCAGUGCAGGACAUGCUAUUGACUUCCAUGAGACAAACACCUACUUGGAAAUCAGGUUUUUUCUGUACCUUUUGAAGGAGCAGGAAUUUCCCAGCAUUUCCUGGACAAAGACGGAGAAGAGAAUUCUGGUCCUUUUCCCCUGGGAUUGAGGUCUCCUGGGCUCAGUCUGCAGUGGGAAACCCGGCCACAUUCGCUGCAUCCUUUCCAGCAAGAUGUCAUUCUGAGAUUUUUGUCAUUCCUGGGCGUUAUGAGGACUGCCAAGGGACACAAUUCCAUGGGAGGAAAGUUUUCUUCUAAGCUGCAAGCCAGCUCUGGCUUCUGGAGUUUCUCCUUAGGAUUGCAAGACAGUAGUUCCCUGUCCUUUAGGUCUUCUCCAGAAAUACCUUAAAAUAGCAAAUAAAAUAAGAUAUAAGCAAACAAAACCUGAAGUUAA